AUGAGAGCCCUUUUCUGGAAUGUUCGUGGUUUCGGUGCUAGGGGCCGUCAGGACCAGAUCCAUCACUUGGUGUGUGGGGAGCACAUUGACAUUUUAGGUUUGGUCGAAACUUUCAAGGAAUCCUUUUCUCCCUCUGAACUGUCUGCGGUCGCUGGGAUGGGUAGAUUUGACUGGCACUUUCUUCCUGCCCUGGGUCAUUCUGGAGGUAUCUUGAUUGGCUCCAAGUGGGACAUCUUUGACUUCAUUGCUUUUGAUCAUGGCAUCUUUUGGGCAAGCUACGUAGUUCAUCAUCGCCAACUGAAUAUGAUGUGGGAAUUCAUGGUGGUUUACGGGCCCGCGGACCAUUCGCUUGCUCCUCUUUUUUUGGAUGAAAUCUCGAUCAAGAUUGAGGCAUGCAAUAUCCCUCUUCUUAUUGGGGGAGACUUUAACCUGAUUCGCUCUCCGGCCGACAAGAACAAUACUAAUUUCUCGUGGCCUCUCGCCAAUGCCUUUAACGAUUUCAUUAGCAGUUGCGCCCUUCGUGAGCUUCCUACGGUGGGGGCUCGUUUCACCUGGUCUAAUCAUCAAGCCUCCCCUGUCCGGUCGGUGCUGGACAGGGUUUUUGUGCCUAAUCGAUGGGAUACGCUAUUUCCCCGUGCAUUGCUCAAGGCCAGGCCUGCGGUAGGGUCUGACCAUGUCCCCCUUGUCCUUGACACGGGUAUCUUGGCUAUCGCCACGACCUCCCGCUUCCAGUUUGAUGCCUCUUGGCUUAUGGUAGAGGGCUUUUAUGAUAUGCUUGGUUCUAGGAUCUCUAGUUUCUUUCUUCUCAUGUACGCUCCUUUGGUCCUCUUGAUGAUUGGCAUAAACUUUCUUACGAGCUUCGCAAAUUCCUUAAGGGGUGGUCUAGAAACAGGGCGACUGGGGCCCGUAAAGAAAAAGACUCCUUAG
rnacentral:rRNA from 1 species